rnacentral:rRNA from 1 species
UGAGUAACACGUGAGUGACCUGCCUUUUAGACUGGAACAACUUACCGAAAGGUGAGCUAAUGCCGGAUGAGUUAUAUAAGUGCAUGUUUAUAUAGGAAAAGUUGGGGAGACCUGACGCUGAAAGAUGGACUCGCGUCCCAUUAGCUAGUUGGUAGGGUAAUGGCCUACCAAGGCGACGAUGGGUAGCCGGCCUGAGAGGUUGGCCGGCCACAUUGGGACUGAGACACGGCCCAGACUCCUACGGAAGGCAGCAG